rnacentral:rRNA from 1 species
UUAAGUGAACAAGGGCAUACGGCGGAUGCCUUGGCGCCAAGAGCCGAUGAAGGACGCGGUAAGCUGCGAAAAGGCAUGGGUAGGAGCAAGCAUCCAGUGAUCCAUGCAUAUCCGAAUGGGGCAACCCACCAUCAGUCAUGUGAUGGUACGAAAGAGGCAGACCUGGGGAACUGAAACAUCUAAGUACCCAGAGGAAAAGUAAUCAAUUGAGAUUCCCUAAGUAGCGGCGAGCGAAAGGGGAAGAGCCCAAACCAUGAAACUUCGGUUUUGUGGGGUUGAGGACCGGCAAAAAGAGGAAACUUCUUAGUCGAAUGGUUUGGAAAGGCCAUGCACAGAAGGUAAAACACCUGUAGGCGAAAAGAAGUCAAUCGGGCUGGUAUCCAGAGUACUGCGAGACACGUGAAACCUUGCAGGAAGCAGGGGGGACCACCCUCCAAGGCAAAAUACUACUUGGCGACCGAUAGCGCAUAGUACCGUGAGGGAAAGGUGAAAAGAACCCCGGGAGGGGAGUGAAAUAGAACCUGAAACCGUAUGUCUACAAGCAGUCGAAGCACCUUAAGAGUGCGACGGCGUGCCUAUUGAAGAAUGAACCGGCGAGUUACAUUAUGUUGCGAGGUUAAGUGGGAGACACGGAGCCGAAGCGAAAGCGAGUCUUAAUAGGGCGACUAGUAACAUGGUGUAGACCCGAAACCGCAGUGAUCUAUCCAUGGUCAGGUUGAAGCGCAGGUAAAAAUGCGUGGAGGACCGAACCCGUGAGUGUUGAAAAACUUUGGGAUGAACCGUGGAUAGGGGUGAAAUGCCAAUCGAACGCGGAGAUAGCUGGUACUCCCCGAAAUAGCUUUAGGGCUAGCCUCAGGGAAGAUUAUAGACGGUAGAGCACUGAUCUGGCAAGGGGGCGUAAAGCCUACCGACCCUAGUCAAACUUCGAAUGGCUAUAAUUAAGACCCUGGGAGUCAGACUGCGAGUGAUAAGACCCGUAGUCAAGAGGGAAACAGCCCAGACCGCCGACUAAGGUCCCCAAUGCUGUACUAAGUGGAAAAGGAUGUAAGACUUCAUAAACAACCAGGAUGUUGGCUUAGAAGCAGCCACCAUUAAAAGAGUGCGUAAUAGCUCACUGGUCGAGAGGCCUUGCGCCGAAGAUGUCCGGGGCUCAAGUACAGAACCGAAGUCGCGGCAGGAUUAUAUAAUUCUGGGUAGGGGAGCGUUGUAUAUCCGACUGAAGGUGUACCGGAAGGAGCGCUGGAGGAUAUACAAGAGAGAAUGCCGGUAUGAGUAGCGAAAAGAACAGUGAGAAUCUGUUCCACCGAAAGCCUAAGGUUUCCUGAGCAACGCUCGUCGACUCAGGGUAAGUCGGGACCUAAGCCGAGGCAAAAAGCAUAGGCGAUGGACAACAGGUUAAUAUUCCUGUACCGCUUCAAAUCGUUUGAGCAAUGGAGUGACACAGAAGGUAGCUUGAGCACGCGAAUGGAUGUGCGUGUCGAAGGUGGUAGGUUGCAGUAUAGGCAAAUCCGUACUGUAUAAGACCGAGAACUGAUAGAUAGACAAUACUUCGGUAAAGUCAAAUUCAAGUGAGCCAUGCUGUCGAGAAAAGCUUCUAGUGAGAGAUGAGGCGCCCGUACCGAAACCGACACAGGUAGGCGGGGAGAGAAUCCUAAGGUGCGCGGGACAACCCUCGUUAAGGAACUCGGCAAAUUGUAUCCGUAACUUAGGGAUAAGGAUAGCCGGAGGAUGUGAAGGGAUUUACUUCUGGAGCGUCAGCCGGUGGCACAAGAGAGGCCCAAGCGACUGUUUAGCACAAACACAGGUGCCUGCAAAAGAGAAAUCUGACGUAUAGGUGCUGACACCUGCCCGGUGCUGGAAGGUUAAGAGGAGGGCUUAGAGGCAACUCGAAGGCUUGAAUUGAAGCCCCAGUAAACGGCGGCCGUAACUAUAACGGUCCUAAGGUAGCGAAAUUCCUUGUCGGGUAAGUUC